GAAGGAAGAACGAUGGUAGAGGCGGUCUUUUUCGUUUCCUUCUCAAACCCUCCUUGCCUCUUCUGUCUCACAGACCCGACGAGAACAACACAGACGGUCUCGCGUCCAUCCUAUCCUCCUCUCACCGCCGUCUGCCUUCCCUCGCCUAUGUCGUCUUACUCCAUCGUUUGUGUCAUGGAGGCCCAUGCGUGGUUUUUUGGGUGGGGAUUUCAGAUUUCAAGGGGGAGAGAGGUUGUGCUUCGUUUCGAUCGGAUCGAGCCUCUAUGAUUCGAUUGGAUCGAGGUGAUGGGGACAACGCAAGAGGUUGAGGGAAGCCGGCUCUAAGACUCUGCAUCUCUCACUUUCUCAUCUCUCAAACCAUUUCUCUCUCUCCCAUCUCUCUCACUGUCUCUGUCUCUUAGCUUUCUCGCUCACUUUAUGUCCACUGAAAUUUCAAGAAAGAUUCAGGUGGAAAACGGGUGAAAUUAGCAGGAUCCAGUAAUGAAAAUGGCAGUUUGAAGGCUGAAGUUGAAGAAAGUUCAGCUGCUGGUGACAACAAGCCAGCUGAAGAAAGCUCUAAACCUUCCGAGCCACCCAAGCAAGACUAUAUUCAUGUCAGGGCAAGAAGGGUACAAGCUACAUAUAACCACAGUCUAGCCGAGAGACUCAUGGAAUACUCUUCCCAAACUUAGGACACUUAAUCACUAAGCGAGUGAACGACAUAAGUUUCUAAAUUACAGAGAGGAGAUAUCUUAUUACAAGGAACUCUCUCCAACAGAACUCAGUCCAAAAGAACAUUUGCUACUCUUAAAAGCAUUAUGUGGACUCCAAGCUCAAAUUUGACAAGAUCAUCAACAAGGAAAAACCGAAUAAGGUGGUUUUGAAGACGAUAAGGACUUGAAGAAGCAGCUGACGCUGAUCUAUCCCAGAGACGAAGGCAAAUCUCUACUAAACAGCCCAUAUUGGCCGACGACAGAGAUUUAGUAUGCAAAGUCAGCGAAGCUGGUGAGGUUUCCAAAGACGUCACCAAUUUCGUGAAGUUGCUGGAGAACAAAUUGGAAAAGUUCAAUGCUUUCUUUGUGGAGAAGGAGGAGUGGUACGUUAGUCGAUGGAAGGACUUCGUUAACCUAGAAGUCAACCUGCUGAUGCCAAAGCAGAAGAGAAGUGAAGAUGUGAGAGAUGGGUACUCUUUGCUGCUGUCCUUGCGAUGAGGAAUUUGAAGAAUAUGCGCUUCCGAGCAAUCCAUUAUAAUAUUGCUUAUUCCUGAGAUACUUCUUCCAGCAGCUGUUCACUGGGUUAGUACAGUGCACCUGUCCAAGGGCUCGAUGGAUGACUACCUUCAUUACCUAUUCAAGGGACCACUUUGGCAUCAUCCAGAGUAGGCACAUCGCUACAGAAUAAUCCCUUGAAUGAUGCUCAGUUAUCAUUUUCCAAGCCAACCCCCUUUGAUGCUGAUCAGAGAUGCUCGCGUUUGCGACGUGAUGGCUUGGUCUCUAGGUGUGAGAAGUCAAUGACUUAUUUGCAAGAAGAUAUGCAACAACUGAGAAGAUGGAGUUCUGGCACCGAAUACCUGGGUUUUGGGAAGAAAUGGAGUGGGGAUGACACUGAAGAAUAUUGGGAACAUAAAUUACAAGAAGAGGAAGACUGAGUGCCGAUCAUGGCCUUCUCUUCCUUCCUCAUCCAAAUCCGGACAUGUUGUGUGGCAUUAGAGUCAUUCCUCAAUAGGAGCGUGUUAUUUUGGUCUGUUAACAAAGGAAGCAAGUUGCUCUGUACUAAAGGGGGAUGAAAUAUGCGGCGCAUGAUUGGCGAGAAUUCUUCUUCAUUGUGAACGUUCAGUGGGCUGAUUACUUGAAACUAUGAUAUUGAUGACACAGUACGAUCUACAAAUGAAUGUUUCUUAUAGCUAUCCAUAUAUAGCAAGCAAAGUUUGACUUCACUGGUUCUUAGUACAGUUGUGCAGAAGACAUCUCCAUUAACCGAUAACAGAUGAAAUCGUUUGCUGUCGAGGUUCCCGUGCAGAAGAGCGAAAAUGCUACAAUUGGAGGAUAGAUAACAGCUCAAGACACAUGGUAUGAGGGUGCAUGUAAACUGUACAUAUGCAUAUGGAAAAAGUAAAAAGUUAAGGCAGGUUAGCUGUAGCUUCUCCUUCUCGCCACAACAGAAAAUACUUUUGAAUUGCAUUAAGCUGUUAAUAAAUUAAGCUCAAGCUAUAUUUUACUUAUCAAGAAUGGGUAAACUGUUUUAAAUAGGAAAAUUAAGUGCUUAUAUCGGGUAAACUGUUAAUUUUACGAAGUUUUCUGGUAAAUUAGGUAUAUAGUUUAAUUCGAAGAGCUCUGUUGACCUUUACUUUUGUUAAAUUAUACAGUUUAAUUGCGUC